UGGCGGCGGGCUAUACAUGCAAGUCGAGCGAACUGAUUUAGAAGCUUGCUUUCCUAUGACGUUAGCGGCGGACGGGUGAAGUAACACGUGGGCAACCUGCCUGUAAGACUGGGAUAACUUCGGGAAACCGAAGCUAAUACCGGAUAGGAUCUUCUCCUUCAUGGGAGAUGAUUGAAAGAUGGUUUCGGCUAUCACUUACAGAUGGGCCCGCGGUGCAUUAGCUAGUUGGUGAGGUAACGGCUCACCAAGGCAACGAUGCAUAGCCGACCUGAGAGGGUGAUCGGCCACACUGGGACUGAGACACGGCCCAGACUCCUACGGGAGGCAGCAGUAGGGAAUCUUCCGCAAUGGACGAAAGUCUGACGGAGCAACGCCGCGUGAGUGAUGAAGGCUUUCGGGUCGUAAAACUCUGUUGUUAGGGAAGAACAAGUACGAGAGUAACUGCUCGUACCUUGACGGUACCUAACCAGAAAGCCACGGCUAACUACGUGCCAGCAGCCGCGGUAAUACGUAGUGGCAAGCGUUAUCCGGAAUUAUUGGGCGUAAAGCGCGCGCAGGCGGUUUCUUAAGUCUGAUGUGAAAGCCCACGGCUCAACCGUGGAGGGUCAUUGGAAACUGGGGAACUUGAGUGCAGAAGAGAAAAGC
rnacentral:rRNA from 1 species